rnacentral:tmRNA from 1 species
GGGGACGUUACGGAUUCGACAGGGAUAGUUCGAGCUUGAGUUGCGAGCCGAGGGGAUCGUCCUCGUCAAAACGUCAACGCCAAUAAUAACUGGCAAAUCAGAAAAUAACUUCGCUUUAGCUGCUUAAUAACAGCUUAGCGGUUCCUCCCUCCAUCGCCCAUGUGGUAGGGUAAGGGACUCACUCUUAGUGGGCUACGCCUGAUUCCACCGUCUGAGGAUGAAGGAAGAGAUGAAUCAGACUAGCCACUCGGACGCCCGUUGGCAGGCAGAAGAACUGGUGAAUUUGCGAAUAUGUCAACUACGCUCGUAGACGCUUGAGUGACGAUAUGUCUGGACGUGGGUUCGACUCCCACCGUCUCCACCA